rnacentral:misc_RNA from 1 species
UGUGGCUCCUAGGGAAGCAUUCAUG